rnacentral:rRNA from 1 species
AUUGAACGCUGGCGGCAGGCCUAACACAUGCAAGUCGAGCGGAUGAACGGAGCUUGCUCCUGGAUUCCGCGGCGGACGGGUGAGUAAUGCCUAGGAAUCUGCCUGGUUGUGGUGUAUAACGUCCUGAAACGGGCGCUACUACCGCAUACGUCCUGAUGCAGCAAGUUGGGGAUCUUCGGACCUCACGCUCUCAGAUGAGCCUAGGUCGGAUUUGCUAGUUGGUGGGGUAAGGGCCUACCUAGCCGACGAUCCGUAACUGGUCUGAGAGGAUGAUCAGUCACACUGGAAGUGGGACAGGGUCAAGACUACUGAGAGAGGGAGCAGUGGGGAAUAGUGGACAGUAGGCGAAAGCAUGAUACAGCCAGGGCGAGUGUGUGAAAAAGGUCUUCGGAGUGGAAAGAACGUUAAGUGGGGAGGAAGGGCAGUAAGUUAAGACCAAGCUGGAGUGACGUUACCAACAGAAUAAGCACCGGCUAACUACGUG